UGUCGGUCGGGUGGAAAAGAGCCGUUUUAACAAUUUUCAGUAAGUUUGGCUGUUCUAUAGCCCCUUUCUUCCUUCCCCAGAGACGUUCUGCUUGCCUGACUCUCACACUCUUGGGGUGAUACAUUCCUUUGGGACCAGUUAAAAUACAACGUUAGGGUCAGUGAUGUAUGUGACUGACUCUGGUUCAGUAUUCUCUUAGGUCACUGUGUUCUCUCUUGUAUGGUUGCCCGAAAUUAUAAUGUUAAAUAAUCUAGAAUGAGUUCAGACAAGUAAAAUCAAGGGAAAUAGAAGGUGAAUUCUGUAACUUCUGUAAGUCGCUUGAUACUAAAAGGUUGAGAGGC
rnacentral:lncRNA from 1 species